rnacentral:lncRNA from 1 species
CAUUAAUGUAAAUAUGGUUUGACAAAUCAGAUUACAUAUAUUUUGUGACUCUUUUCUCUAGACGCUGGUACUUUGAAUGCUAGAAUUCUAUAAGUGAUUAACGAGCUUUUUUUCUUAUGUAAAACUAUUAUAUAUACAUACAUAUAGAAAAUAACAUAACCUAAACUGCUAAAAACUACAUGUCUUAGUCGAGAACUGCGUGUCUUCCACGUGUCUGGACACUUGAAACCAACUUCUUUACUCUAAUUGCAUGUCAGUUUCCACCUUUCCAUCGAAAACUUCCAAUGCCCGUCGAAUUGUGGCUUCUAACGAAAACUCUCAGUAUCUAGCGAACUCAGCAACUUUCAGUCAUGGACUUAGAGAAUCUUGCAGCUUUGAACCUUCUUUUCCUUGUCGAAUAUACAAAAUAAAAUACAGGCUAACAUCCCUAUAAAUACUUAUUGUCGUAUUAGUUUAUAUAAAAAAGGUUAUUGUCAUCAUUGAUGGAUUAUUUUAACAGCAAAAACUAUUUUGAUUAACAGAAUAUACAAUCGUGAACUAUUUUAAAAUUUUAAUACAUAGAUAGAUUGUUGUGCCUACUCGUUACACAUUCAUGCAUAGAUCAAAAGGACAAUUACCAAAAAAAUCAUACCCAAUUUCUAAGAUAAAAUAAUCUGACUUUGUUAUCCAAAUAAUAAUAGUAAAGUGAAUUAUGUACCCAAACAUAAUGGUCCAGUGAAUUAUGAUAUAGAUUUUAUAAAAAAAAAAAAAAUGAAAAGCAGAGUAUAAUUAUGGUGUACAUUUAUAAUUUCAUGAGGUAAAUCCUCCACCAUAAGCAAUUAUAUUUAAUUUAGUUGAAUAUUAUAACCUAUGAAGCCCGGAUAUAAGAUAGGAUAUGACACCGAUAUAAAAAAAUUUAAAAAUCAAGAUAUGAUAUGGUCGGGAUACGUUAAUAAAAAAUUAUAUAAUUAAAUGUAUAAUAUAAUUAUAACAAUUUUUUUAAUAUGCAAAUAUAUUAACAAACACAAGAAACCAAUCACAGGCUCAUAGCAUAUCUACAUAAAUAUAAGUAAUAUUGACGAUUAAGAGAGUGAUGAUUAGUCAAUUACAUAUAUAAUAUAUCCCAAAAAGAGCACUAUCAAUGUUAUACUAUAUCCAAAAGGAACAUUGUUAUUGCUAUAAUAAUAUAAUGUUUUUUCUUACUUUUUAUAGAAAAAAACAGAAAUCAAAAUAAUAUAAAAAAAUAAAAUUUAUAUUAUCUGAUAUUCUUCCGAUACGUAUUGGGAAGUAUCGGAUAAUUAUUUUAAAAUAAAAUAAAAUUUAAUGGUUUGAUACUCUUCCGAUACGUAUCGAAAAGUAUCAGAUAAAUAUCGUACAUGAUAUGUAAGAGAUACAAUAAAUCACCCAUUUUGAAGUAUCUGAUACUGCAUAGAUUAUAACAUACCUUAGUGGAGAUUUGUAUAUUGCAACAAGUACUAUAACUAACAAGAUUGAAGCAACAAUCUAAAGCUACCUAAUAACAUGCUCAUAUUGAUUAACAACAUGAGCCACCGUGUUUAUCUUUAUUGAUUAGUGGAUGUGAAUAAAGUCAUUAACAUGGGGACACAAUGUAGGUGAGACAUUUUUUAUUCCCUAUUUUAGAAAUCAU